GAUCCUGGCUCAGAUUGAACGCUGGCGGCAUGCUUUACACAUGCAAGUCGAACGGUAACAGGGAGCUUGCUCCGCUGACGAGUGGCGAACGGGUGAGUAAUGCAUCGGAACGUACCCAGUCGUGGGGGAUAACGUAGCGAAAGUUACGCUAAUACCGCAUACGUCCUGAGGGAGAAAGCGGGGGACCGAAAGGCCUCGCGCGAUUGGAGCGGCCGAUGUCGGAUUAGCUAGUUGGUAGGGUAAAGGCCUACCAAGGCGACGAUCCGUAGCGGGUCUGAGAGGAUGAUCCGCCACACUGGGACUGAGACACGGCCCAGACUCCUACGGGAGGCAGCAGUGGGGAAUUUUGGACAAUGGGCGCAAGCCUGAUCCAGCCAUGCCGCGUGAGUGAAGAAGGCCUUCGGGUUGUAAAGCUCUUUCAGGUGGAAAGAAAACGCAUGGGUCAAUACCCUGUGUGGAUGACGGUACCAUCAGAAGAAGCACCGGCUAACUACGUG
rnacentral:rRNA from 1 species